rnacentral:rRNA from 1 species
AUUGAACGCUGGCGGCAGGCCUAACACAUGCAAGUCGAACGGUAACAGGGAUCAGCUUGCUGAUUCGCUGACGAGUGGCGGACGGGUGAGUAAUGUCUGGGAAACUGCCUGAUGGAGGGGGAUAACUACUGGAAACGGUAGCUAAUACCGCAUAACGUCGCAAGACCAAAGAGGGGGACCUUCGGGCCUCUUGCCAUCGGAUGUGCCCAGAUGGGAUUAGCUAGUAGGUGGGGUAACGGCUCACCUAGGCGACGAUCCCUAGCUGGUCUGAGAGGAUGACCAGCCACACUGGAACUGAGACACGGACCAGACUCCUACGGGAGGCAGCAGUGGGGAAUAUUGCACAAUGGGCGCAAGCAUGAUGCAGCCAUGCCGCGUGUAUGAAGAAGGCCUUCGGGUUGUAAAGUACUUUCAGCGGGGAGGAAGGGAGUAAAGUUAAUACCUUUGCUCAUUGACGUUACCCGCAGAAGAAGCACCGGCUAACUCCGUG